UACGUAGGGUGCAAGCGUUGUCCGGAAUUAUUGGGCGUAAAGAGCUCGUAGGCGGUUUGUCGCGUCUGCUGUGAAAACUCGGGGCUUAACUCCGGGCCUGCAGUGGGUACGGGCAGACUAGAGUGCGGUAGGGGAGACUGGAAUUCCUGGUGUAGCGGUGAAAUGCGCAGAUAUCAGGAGGAACACCGGUGGCGAAGGCGGGUCUCUGGGCCGUAACUGACGCUGAGGAG
rnacentral:rRNA from 1 species